CAAUUUUUAUUUUCUAUAAUUUUUUUUAAAUUGAAUUCCUAAAACAUAAUAAUGUCCAAUAUAGGAAUCCAAUAUAAUGAAAUCAUUCCCUUUAGGAUAUGCUUUUAUCUAACAGGGGAGGAGUUAUACCCUCUGUACAUAAUAAAUACUUUGUAUAAACCAGACGUAGGCGGAUGCAUUGGUUGCACAGAUAAGAUUUAGUUCUUAAGCACUUUUUAAUUAUAAAUUAGAAUACCUUUAUAUUUCAUGAGAGAGGAUGUAGAAAAUAAAUUAAACAAUUCUAAAUCAUUCAGCUACAACGUUUUUUAACAAUAUAAUAAAGAAACUAAAUAACUGCAUUAUAAAAUAAAAAUAAGGAUAUUAGAAUAAUAAAAUAUAAAGCAAAUAAAUACAAGAAAAUAUAUAGUUUUUUUAAUCAUGAAAUUGUCACAAUACAAACUUUUUCAACCUCGCAAAUACAUAUACCGACUGACAUAGGAAAAAGGGAACGCCUAAUAACUAUCUUACUCUUCAACUAUUGAUAAAAAUGUUGUAAAAGCAUCUUUUGACAUAUUUAGUUCUUAUUUUAAAUGAGACAGUUGGUAUAUUAUUAUGUAUUCCGAUAGAAAUACGUAAUACUUUGUAAUACUUCCGGUUAAACAGGAAGUAGCGGAAAAUAACCGAAUAUGUCAAAAGAUGCUCUUAUAACAAUUCUAUCAGUAAUACCAAAUUUCAUUUGUUUAUCUUGAAGAGAAAAAUAGUUGUUAAGUGUUCCUUUUUCCUGGUCACCCACCCGAUAUAUGUAUGUGUUUAAUUAAGCUCUACUAAGUUAUAAUUGGUACUAUACUAAGCUUGGAUUUUAAAAUGAAAAUGAUCUUUGAAACGGCAGUGCGGUUUCUUGGAAGAGCAAUUUUUUUAACACACCUAUUCCCUGACAAAAUUCAAAUCUAAAUUAUCUUAGGAUUAGGCAUUUUAAAAUACGUACAAAAUACAUACCAAAUGUGAGGAAAUGUUAGCAUAAAAUCACAGAUAUAACCCAAUGCUUAAAAUUGCAACUAAUUUUUACGUCAUAUACAUAGAUAUUAUACAAAGAUUUAGGUUUUAGGGUUUACCUAACUACUUAUUAAAUCUGUAUAUAUCCAUAUCACCGCAGUAUAUUUUAAAUGAGACCUUAUUAUGCAUUGUAUAAAGGUGUUAUAGAAUUAAUAUUUGUGAAAUUCCUUAUAACAAAACCAAGUGCACGAUCAACUUUUGGUAAUAUUCUCAAAAUGACUAUUGAAUUUUAUAUUGCUUUGAAAAAUACUCCAACAUCCUUUAACUCUGUUCACAAAACAGAGGAUCAGUGGUUUAUUAUUUGGGAAAUAAGUGAAUUUCAUAUUGAUUUUAUUCGAUUUUGCUUAAAACAAUUUUCUACAAAAUUUACAUCUUCCAACUUCUAGAUCUUGAUGUCAUCAACAAAAAGGAAAUUUUCGCAGUGUUCGGAAGGCUAUCAAUAAAAACUAUAAAGACAACGUACUCAGAUUACUACCCUGUGGCCCAACAGAAACCCCCAGACAUUGAUCUUCCCACAAUAACAACCUGUUGUUGUGAUGUCAGGCAAAAUCAUUAUGAAUAAAUGGAAAAAUAUAAUGGAUAAUUAAGAUGUGAAAUUUUUUAAUAUUAUCCGACGCAUUCGCACCACCUCAAUGCCCAUAUAAUAUAUUAUUCAUGUUUGGGAUUUAUAUUGUAUUAACUAUGACAAAGCGUAAUAUUAUAUUAGCAUAACAAUGCAAUAAUGGGCAACAUGGGUGUUAUGGCAGCUCAUAACUCCUCCCGCUAAGAGACGAGCUUACGGAAAGCAUUGAAAUUGAAGUUACCCUAAACAUAAAUAAUAAUAUAAGCAGAGAUUGAGAGAGACCCAAAAAAGUAAAAGAGGCAGUGAGUGCUAGCACUUCGGCUUAUAAAGAGGCAGGUAUAGAGGCAGUGGUCAUAGCUGACCAGAUGUGGUGGUGUUUGUCCACUAGGUCCAUGACUAGAGUUUUAUGGUAUACCAGAGUUUGAGAGGUAUUACCAGGUUGACAGGGAUGCCCUCUGAGCGCGCAGUUUCUUCGAGUUACUGCUUAGCGGCAGUGGAGCGUCUGGGGUAGCUAACUAUUUUGAGGGGACACUAGCUAGUCGUCGAAGAAAGAAGAUAUAUAUAUAAAUUAUUAGCAAACAUAAAGUAACUAUAUUGAUGGUGGUUGGCAUGACUAAACCAAGGGGACCGAGGUUGCCCCGGUGAGUAAAAUUAAUCUUUAUUAGAUGGGUCAGUACAGUAAACCGUAAACAUUUUUGUUUCAUGGUACUCUCAAUCUCGCUGAAUGAAUUGCAUUGUCAAUACUCACGAGUGAAGUGAUACAGUGAAUAUAAAACUAUUCUUUUCGACUAAAGGCAUUUCCAGUAUAAAAAAGAUUUGAUUGAAUGUUUAGGAUAUUUUCGAUCUUUGCUUGAAACGGAAGUUUGCCAAAAGUUAUAUUUUUUUAUAUUUCUGAGAGGAAUCCCUUAGGAUUGAGUAUUGAAUUAUGAAAUGUGUUUAAUUUUGAAAAUUUUAUAGCAAUUUGUAAUUUUUCAAGAAUAUCUUAUAUUUUUUGUAAAAAUGUGGUUAGAUGUUAAGUAUAUUUGUAGUGAAAAUAAAUGUCUAGUUUCCAUGUCA